CGGGCAGAAGAAAGCCACCGGCUAACUUCCGUGCCAGCAGCCGCGGUAAUACGGAGGGUGCAAGCGUUAAUCGGAAUUACUGGGCGUAAAGCGCACGCAGGCGGUCUGUCAAGUCGGAUGUGAAAUCCCCGGGCUCAACCCUGGGAACUGCAUUCGAAACUGGCCAGGCCAGAGUCUUGUAGAGGGGGGUAGAAUUCCAGGUGUAGCGGUGAAAUGCGUAGAGAUCUGGAGGGAAUACCGGUGGCGAAGGCGGCCCCCCUGGACAAAGACUGACGCUCAGGUGCGAAAGCGUGGGGAGCAAACAGGACCAGAUACCCUGGUAGUCCACGCCGUAAACGAUGUCGAUUUGGAGGUUGUGCCCUUGAGGCGUGGCUUCCGGAGCUAACGCGUUAAAUCGACCGCCUGGGGAGUACGGCCGCAAGGUUAAAACUCAAAUGAAUUGACGGGGGCCCGCACAAGCGGUGGAGCAUGUGGUUUAAUUCGAUGCAACGCGAAGAACCUUACCUGGUCUUGACAUCCACAGAACUUAGCAGAGAUGCUUUGGUGCCUUCGGGAACUGUGAGACAGGUGCUGCAUGGCUGUCGUCAGCUCGUGUUGUGAAAUGCCGGGUUAAGUCCCGCAACGAGCGCAACCCUUAUCCUUUGUUGCCAGCGGUCCGGCCGGGAACUCAAAGGAGACUGCCAGUGAUAAACUGGAGGAAGGUGGGGAUGACGUCAAGUCAUCAUGGCCCUUACGACCAGGGCUACACACGUGCUACAAUGGCAUAUACAAAGAGAAGCGACCUCGCGAGAGCAAGCGGACCUCAUAAAGUAUGUCGUAGUCCGGAUUGGAGUCUGCAACUCGACUCCAUGAAGUCGGAAUCGCUAGUAAUCGUAGAUCAGAAUGCUACGGUGAAUACGUUCCCGGGCCUUGUACACACCGCCCGUCACACCAUGGGAGUGGGUUGCAAAAGAAGUAGGUAGCUUAACCUUCGGGAGGGCGCUUACCACUUU
rnacentral:rRNA from 1 species